rnacentral:misc_RNA from 1 species
GAUGAAGAACGUAGCGAAAUGCGAUACGUAGUGUGAAUUGCAGAAUUCAGUGAAUCAUCGAAUCUUUGAACGCACAUUGCGCCCUUUGGUAUUCCAAAGGGCAUGCCUGUUCGAGCGUCAUUUCAACCCUCAAGCACAGCUUGGUGUUGGGACUCGCGUUAAUUCGCGUUCCUCAAAUUGAUUGGCGGUCACGUCGAGCUUCCAUAGCGUAGUAGUAAAACCCUCGUUACUGGUAAUCGUCGCGGCCACGCCGUUAAACCCCAACUUCUGAAUGUUGACCUCGGAUCAGGUAGGAAUACCCGCUGAACUUAAGCAUAUCAAUAAGCGGAGGA